rnacentral:sRNA from 1 species
UUUCAAGUUGGCCAAAUUGACAAGAGCGAGAGGUAUACUGCGUUCCAUCCCGACCCGGGGCCACGGUACUGGGCCCUGUUUCCCCCUCCUCGGCCCCCGAGAGCCAGGGUCCGCCUUCUGCAGGGUUCCCAGGCCCCCGCUCCAGGGCCGGGCUGACCAGACUCGCUGGCGCUUCAUGGAGAACUUCCAAAAGGUGGAAAAGAUCGGAGAGGGCACGUACGGAGUUGUGUACAAAGCCAGAAACAAGUUGACGGGAGAAGUGGUGGCGCUUAAGAAAAUCCGCCUGGACACGUGAGUGGCCUCUGUACCCGGGAAUCCUAACUGGGGACCUCCUUGAUUGUCCCCCCCAACCCCCCACGGGCGGGUAGCCGUCCAGGGACCGGAAGAGAGCAGGGAGGGACUUCUUUAGAAGUGGAGAGGUGGGUUGGGGGCCAGUAGAAGGUGGAGAGUAUACUUAUACUCCCUGGGGAGAGUAUAGGGUGGUGUGGAAUCCAUGGAAAACUUUCUUCCCAAACUGAGCCGGAUCGUGACCCCAAAUGUGCGACUACAGACUCGGGGAGAGAAAGGAGGUCUCUGAGAUGAGGUCCAAGACUCUCCAUGGAGUGGAGUUAUGUGGGAACCGGCGAGAAUCGCCUUUCUGAAUGAAGAGCCCUCUUCACUGCCCCACCCUCACCUUAGAAUUCUCUCCUCUUUCCAAAGAAUGGCAGUUGAACCUCACUGGCCCCUGUGGGGAGGCUGGGGACUACUCCUGCAUUCCCCCCCCCCCGCCCCCAUUACAGUCUCCCUGCUUCACCUUCACCAGGCGACUUUACUUACCUACCCCUGGGAAAAGAGGAGAUAAUGACCUUAAUAUGUCCAAAAGUCACACCCUGACUACCCAAGAAUUAGCUCUUACCAUCACCCUUUCUCUUCUCUCACUUUCCUAGGGGGUGCUGGGUGGUGUCUCCUUGGGGGAAAGAAAUGACUAGGUUGGGGGAAAAGGAAUAUUUGUAACCAUAUUCCCAUCUCUGCUUUCCCAACCUCUCCAAGUGAGACUGAGGGUGUGCCCAGUACUGCCAUCCGAGAGAUCUCUCUGCUUAAGGAGCUUAACCAUCCUAAUAUUGUCAAGCUGCUGGAUGUCAUUCACACAGAAAAUAAACUCUACCUGGUUUUUGAAUUUCUGCACCAAGAUCUCAAGAAAUUCAUGGAUGCCUCUGCUCUCACUGGCAUUCCUCUUCCCCUCAUCAAGAGCUAUCUGUUCCAGCUGCUCCAGGGCCUAGCUUUCUGCCAUUCUCAUCGGGUCCUCCACCGAGACCUUAAACCUCAGAAUCUGCUUAUUAACACAGAGGGGGCCAUCAAGCUAGCAGACUUUGGACUAGCCAGAGCUUUUGGAGUCCCUGUUCGUACUUACACCCAUGAGGUGGUGACCCUGUGGUACCGAGCUCCUGAAAUCCUCCUGGGCUGCAAAUAUUACUCCACAGCUGUGGACAUCUGGAGCCUGGGCUGCAUCUUUGCUGAGAUGGUAUGGAGCCUUGCCCAAGUUCGACCCAGCCCCCUCCCCCUCCUCCCCACAUCCAAGAACAACAGAACUGUUUCUUGGCCCAGACCUAUGGCCCUUCUAUCACAGGGUUCUCUCUCUAAAGUAGCACCAAGGGGAAUGGUGGGAAGGGAUGCAACUGUUGCCCUGAUAUCAACCACAAUGUUAGGAUAUCCUCAAACAGCCUUAAUACCUAGUAUACAUCUCUUAUCCCUGAAAUGAGUUAAAGCAUUUCUGCAGCUGUUUUAGCUGUAGUCUGCAUAUAUUUGGGAGAAUGAUUCCAUUUAGUGCC